rnacentral:rRNA from 1 species
GAUGAACGCUGGCGGCGUGCUUAACACAUGCAAGUCGAGCGAUGAAGUUUCCUUCGGGAAACGGAUUAGCGGCGGACGGGUGAGUAACACGUGGGUAACCUGCCUCAUAGAGUGGAAUAACCUUCCGAAAGGAAGAUUAAUACCGCAUAACGUUGAAAGAUGGCAUCAUCAUUUAACCAAAGGAGCAAUCCGCUAUGAGAUGGACCCGCGGCGCAUUAGCUAGUUGGUGGGGUAACGGCCUACCAAGGCGACGAUGCGUAGCCGACCUGAGAGGGUGAUCGGCCACAUUGGGACUGAGACACGGCCCAGACUCCUACGGGAGGCAGCAGUGGGGAAUAUUGCACAAUGGGGGAAACCCKGAUGCAGCAACGCCGCGKGAGUGAUGAAGGUUUUCGGAUCGUAAAGCUCUGUCUUUGGGGAAGAUAAUG